AGUGGUCAGUAGUGGUCAGUAGUGGUCAGUAGGGGGCAGUAGUGUGAGCUGUGUGUCUGUCUCCUCUGACUGUGUGACUUUGCAUAUGUGUGCUGCCUCUCUGCUCCAGCCGUUAAGAGCCCAGUGCUGCUCAGUGUGUGUGCGGGCCCUUCAGAGCCACUCCCACACCAACAACACAAUGAGCCUGAUGUCCCUGCAGCUGUUCCUGCUGGCCCUGGGGCUCCUGGUUCGGGGUUCUUCAGGAGAAAUCAGCCUGACUCAGACUCCUAAAGCUGCAGCUGUGGACAAAGGAGCCUCUGUUACUCUCAGGUGUCAGACCAGUUCAAAUGUAGGGAGAGAACUCGCCUGGUAUCUCCAAAGAGGCACAGAACCUCCAAAGCUCCUGAUAUAUGCUACAAACUCUUCACUCUGGAGUCUCCAGUCGUUUCAGUGGAAGUGGUUCAAGAUCUGAUUAUUCAUUUAUUUA